rnacentral:rRNA from 1 species
UUAAGUCAGGCAACGAGCGAGACCCACGCCAACAGUUGCUAGCUCGUCCUCCGGGAUGGAGAGGACACUGUUGGGACCGCCUCUGCUAAAGAGGAGGAAGGAAUGGGCAACGGUAGGUCAGCAUGCCCCGAAUUGUCCGGGCUACACGCGGGCUACAAUGGGUGGGACAAUGGGUAUCGACACCGAAAGGUGAAGGCAAUCUCCUAAACCCAUCCUUAGUUCGGAUUGUGGGCUGCAACUCGCCCACAUGAAGCUGGAAUCCGUAGUAAUCGUGUUUCAAAAUAGCACGGUGAAUAUGUCCCUGCUCCUUGCACACACCGCCCGUCAAACCACCCGAGUGAGGUCUUGAUGAG